UAGAGAAGAACAGAGAAGAGGCACUCAUAGGGAAGCCAUCAUCUUCAUAUAUCUACAAACAUACAACACAUACAAUUUCCAUUAAAAAUACAUACGCAGACAACUUGGGGGGAGGGGGUUCUUGAUUCUUUUCCAUUUUGGGUUCCCAACAGACACGCACAGAUCUGGCGAACACAUACAUUGAGCGAGAAAUCAAGAAUGAAGAGGAUUUGAGAGAUUGGUUAUCUUUCUUUGGAAUUCUGGUAAAAUCUCAUCGGAAUUGAUUUUUAACUCUUCAUUUCAAUCGGUUCAGUCCCAGAAUCCAAAAUAUCCUCGUUUUCUUAGAUUUCUAGGUAGACCUGGUUGUAAAACACUAAAAUUCGAUGAAAGCAUGAACCAGCAGUGGAUUUUUACUAAAAUCAGCCCUAUUUUUAACCCAUUUUUGUGAUAGUUUCACGUACGGGUUGUGUUCUGCUGUGUUUCUUGAUUUGGGUUAAUCGUACUUCGUUACUGGUUUGAAAUUUAGGGUCCCAUUUUUCUCGAUCUAUUCUUCGUGAUCAGUUUUAGGCUUUAAUUUCUUGAUUACCGAGUUGGAUUCUGGUUCGUAGUUGUGGUAUUCUUCAAGGCUGAUUCAGGGUUCUUCAGCACGCAGAUUUGCCUUUUUGAUUGACUGGUAUUUGAAAUAAAAUCAUCGUUGAGGUCCAUUUCUACUCUUUUCCUCUUUUAUUUCAUUGUUGAUAGAAUAUGAUAUAUUGGAUGGAAUUUUGUGUGUUGUUUGAUCUUGAUUAGUAAUGAAUUGUUAUUUUGAUAUUGUCUUGUUGCUUAAUUUCGUUGAAAAGAGAUUGUAGAUUGUUGAAAAAUAGAAAUUGUGAAUUGUGGAAAUUUGGUGUUAAAAGAAAAUUUGGGGCGGAAUUGAGAAAUUGAUAAAAAAACAAGUGUUAAUUUAUUUUUUAUUCAUUGAUGUUGAUGAAUUCGGUAGUAUCAUGAUAAGACCGUCAAAAGCGUAGGCAAAUAGUAGGCUUGGGUAGGAAAAUUUAGAACUCGUGGAUUGUUGAAUGUUGAAAAUGUCUAUUGAAUGGCUUGGUUUUAUGGUUUUUGGAUCAAAUGUAUCAUUUGGCCUGGGAAUGCCCCCGAGAUAUUUGUGCUUAUUCAUCGGGGAAUGCCCCGAGGCAUUUUGUACUCGGAGGACGUUCGUGACGAAGUUCCGAGGCAUCGGGUAAAGCAUUGGAGCGCAGUUUAGGACUAGUGUAGGUUAGCGUAGGUUUACAUUUUUGCAUUUUUUAUUUCGGGUUGUAAUAAUUGGACUGGACAUUAUAUUUUUGGAUUUGUUUUGUUUGUUUGUUUGAUAGAUUUUUUUUGUGUGGUUUAUAUAUUCAUAGUGUCAAAUUAGCCGAUAUGCUCCACCAAGCGACCGUGGUCAAAUCACGGGAUCGAAGGGUGCCUAACACCUUCCCCUCAGUCAACAAAAUUCCUUAGCUGGAAUCUCUAUUCGCAAACCAGUUUAAAGAGUCAAAUUGUUUUGGAAAAGAUAUCCAUGGGUGACUUGGCACACCCGAUUUAUACCAAGUGACGACUCUGAAUAAAAAACGUAAACAAUCCUUUUUCGAAACAAACUUUUAUCUUUUAUCACUUUAAUAACAAAAACCCUUUCAAACUUUAAUAUAAUCUUUUGGUUGAAAAAGGGGUGUGACAGUUAUGUUUGUGGGUUGUAAUUUCACUUAGUUUUGUCAAUCUAGUGCAAAAACUUUAUUUUUUUAUUCUAGUAUGUUGUUUGUGGACUAAUUGUUGCUCGUCGUGGUUUAGAUUUUGUUGUUUUAGUUCGAUUUUAUUUUCAGUUCUGUGGACAAUUGCUCUAGCUAUGCAAGUUUUCCUCUUUGAUGUAUAGUCGUAUCGCUCCUAAGUGUUCCUUGACCCUUAAUGUCAAUGAAAAAGAUGAAGUCGGUUUAUAAGCCAAAAAUUUCAAUCCGAAGAUCCCUUUGUUUGUGGCUUAAUCGUUGCUUGUUGUGGUUUCGAUUUUAUUAAUUUAACUUGGGUUCAUUUUUAGUUCUUUCCAAAAUUAUUUUAGUUGUGAAAGUUUUCCUCUUUGAUGCAUCGUCGGAUCGCUCUUGAGAAUGUCAAUGGAAAAGAUGGAGUCGAUUUACAAGCGAAAAAUGUCAACCCAAAGAUCCCUUUGUUUGUGGCUUAAUCAUUGCUCGUUAUGGUUUCGAUUUAGUUGUUUUAAUUCAGUUUCAUUUUUAGUUCUUUGAAAAAUUGCUUUAUUUCUGCAAGUUUUUCUCUUUGAUGUAUAGUCGGAUCGCUCCUAAGUGUUCCUUGACCCUUAAUGUCAAUGAAAAAGAUGGAGUCGGUCUACAAGCGAAAAAUUUCAACCUAAAGAUCCCUUUAUUUGUGGAUUAAUCAUUUCUUGUUGUGGUUUUGAUUUUGUUGUUUUAAUUCAGAUUCAUUUUUAGUUCUUUGAAAAAUUGCUUUAGUUGUGCAACUUUUCCUCUUUGAUGUAUAGUCGGAUCACUCCUAAGUGCUCCUUGAGCGAAGUUUCCUUUGAACUCUCAAAAGAGAGGAAGGAGGAGGAAUAAUCUUAGUCAGUUAAUUUGUCUUUUCUAAGGCACUAUCUAAACUCGCUUUAGAAUUUGAGUUUCUUAGUCGAAAGUUUAAUCUAAGCGUUUAUGUUGAGCUAAAUCAAAAAAAUUGUGCAUUUUUAUGAAGUUCGCUCUAGUUCACUCUUAUACUGUUAAAUAACAAUAUGUGAAUGUUUCUCUAUGUGCUAAAACGUUUGUUUCAACUUUGGUGUUCUGCUUUUCUUCGUCUUUAUUUUUAAGUUGUCUCUAUGCCCUAAAGUGUAAUUUUUCUUUUUAUUUAAGUUAAAAUGUGAGAAUCUUUGAAAUUUGUUAUUACCCUCAAAUUGCAUAUGAGUUCGGCUUGCCAAAACGAUUGCAUCUUGUUGCAUCCUAAAUGUCCAUCUUUUGAUUUCUUUUGGAAUUUUGAUCUCAUUAAUACAUUGAAAGAGUUUGAAGCAACCAUGUUUGAUCUUUAGAAAUUAUAGUCCUUAUUUCUUAUUUCUUAGAAAUUUCAGUCUUUAUGUCUCCUUUUGGAUGAUUAGGAACGUUAAUUUUCUAGGCUCUUAUUUAACCCAAGUGAUUCAUUUUGAUGAAUGUGUUCUUACUCUAUAAUAUUAGUUGUUAAAUGAAUACUCGUUGGAUGGAUUCUAAUCUUUCUCCUUUUCUUCUUUGUUUAACAUAUAAAAUGUUGAGUCCAAAAUGGACUCUUCUCAUGUGCAUUUCGACAGUGGGCCAAUGUGGCCCAUUUCCAUUUCGAGUCAUCCCCUCGAGCCUAUCAAACUAGCCUGAUUAUUGGAGAAAGAAGUUGUCACCGAUGAGAGGAAAUGGGGUUAAAGUCCAUUUUUAAAGUAGCUAAGAGACAUAAAAAGUCUCAUUUCUUUUAUCGCUUUAUUUAUCAUUAUCCAUCUAAUUACUUAUUUAUUCAUUCAUUUAGGCCUCGAAGUCAAAGUUGUAAAUUAAUACAGAUGAAGUUGAUUAUGGGCCAAAAGGUCCAAAAAGAUAGUUUAGGACCGGUGAAGAUGGGCCGAAAGCCCAAUUAGAUUAGGACAGGGUUGAUAGAUAGAAAAAUUUUAGAAAUAGUAACUAUAGAGCCUUAAUUGUAACUUUUAUUGUAACAGUUUCAUAAUUACAAAAAUUAGCAAAUUGUAUUUUGUAUUUAAGUAAACUGUUGCUAUACAUAUACAACAAGAUUUACUGCCCUUGUUUUACUCAAAUUAGUUGAGUUAAAUAAGAAAUAAUUAUCUCAUAAAUUACUCUUAUCUAAAUUAGUAGAUUUCUUUUCCAAAUCAAACUCAAAUAUGAAGAUUAUUAUUUCCAUGAUCUUCAAAAUUUCAAAAUAUCAUUCUCUUAUAUCUCUAACUAUUUUUUCUUGUUAGUUUUUUUUAUUUUUUUAUCUUUUUUUUAUUUUAAUUUCUUUUUCUUUCCAUUUUUUCUU
rnacentral:lncRNA from 1 species